rnacentral:sRNA from 1 species
UUUUUGGGUCUUUCCGUAAUAUGUGGUAUAUUACGGGCCCAACAUUAUUUAUUCAGACAUUAAUUUUUAAGUUUUUCAUGUAUCAAAAUUCGUUAAAAUUAGAUGGGGUAUCCCUACAUAGCGGGAGAGACCCACUUCGAAUGGUUCCUAGAGUCUUCAAAAAAGAAUAAAUACAAUUGCAUUGCAUGAACUAACAGAUGCGAUCAUACCAGCACUAAUGCACCGAGUCCCUUUAGAACUUCGCAGCUAAUUUUGCUUGUGUAAGUUUAGUCCUAGGAUGGGUGACUUCCCGGGAAGUCCUCGUUUUGCAUCCCUUUUGUUUUGGCUAAAACUGUGUGACUCUAUAAUUUUUAGACCAUGAGGCCAAACUUGGCAUGUGAUACCUUAUCAGAAAUCACAAAGAGAACUGUCUAACGAAAGAAGCAAGACAAUGGGUCAAGGUACCAUUGCUUUUUUACUCCAAAUUUUGACCUUUACGUACUUUUUCGGGUCUUUCCUUGAUCUAUGUUGAAUUAAGGGCCCAAAAUUGAUUGUUCGGACAUUGUUUUUGAAUAUUUUUCAUGUUUCAAAGCUCCUUAAAACUAGAUGGGGUAUCCCUACAUAGCGGGUGAAACCCAC